rnacentral:tRNA from 1 species
GUGUUGGUGGUAUAGUGGUGAGCAUAACUUGUCUUCCAAGCAGAUGACCCUGGUUUGAUUCCUGGUGAAUACA